rnacentral:rRNA from 1 species
GACGAACGCUGGCGGCGUGCUUAACACAUGCAAGUGGAGCGACGAACCGGGGCUUGCCCCGGGGCAGAGCCGCGAACGGGUGAGUAACACGUGGGUUACCUGCCCCAAUGACCGGGACAACCCGAGGAAACUCGGGCUAAUACCGGAUGUGGUCUUCGGACGAAAGGAAGCUUCGGCCUCCGCAUUGGGAUGGGCCCGCGGCGCAUUAGCUAGUUGGUGGGGUAACGGCCUACCAAGGCGACGAUGCGUAGCUGGUCUGAGAGGACGAUCAGCCACACUGGGACUGAGACACGGCCCAGACUCCUACGGGAGGCAGCAGUGGGGAAUCUUGCGCAAUGCGCGAAAGCGUGACGCAGCAACGCCGCGU